UACGUAGGGUGCAAGCGUUAAUCGGAAUUACUGGGCGUAAAGCGUGCGCAGGCGGUUAUGCAAGACAGAUGUGAAAUCCCCGGGCUCAACCUGGGAACUGCAUUUGUGACUGCAUGGCUAGAGUACGGCAGAGGGGGAUGGAAUUCCGCGUGUAGCAGUGAAAUGCGUAGAUAUGCGGAGGAACACCGAUGGCGAAGGCAAUCCCCUGGCCUGUACUGACGCUCAUGCACGAAAGCGUGGGGAGCAAACAGG
rnacentral:rRNA from 1 species